CGGGUGAGUAACACGUGGAUAACCUACCUAUAAGACUGGGAUAACUUCGGGAAACCGGAGCUAAUACCGGAUGAUAUUUUGAACCGCAUGGUUCAAAAGUGAAAGACGGUCUUGCUGUCACUUAUAGAUGGAUCCGCGCUGCAUUAGCUAGUUGGUAAGGUAACGGCUUACCAAGGCAACGAUGCAUAGCCGACCUGAGAGGGUGAUCGGCCACACUGGAACUGAGAUACGGUCCAG
rnacentral:rRNA from 1 species